rnacentral:rRNA from 1 species
CAGUCGCCGCGGGAAUACGAAGGGGGCUAGCGUUGUUCGGAAUUACUGGGCGUAAAGCGCACGUAGGCGGAUAUUUAAGUCAGGGGUGAAAUCCCAGAGCUCAACUCUGGAACUGCCUUUGAUACUGGGUAUCUUGAUUAUGGAAGAGGUGAGUGGAAUUCCGAGUGUAGAGGUGAAAUUCGUAGAUAUUCGGAGGAACACCAGUGGCGAAGGCGGCUCACUGGUCCAUUACUGACGCUGAGGUGCGAAAGCGUGGGGAGCAAACAGGAUUAGAUACCCCGGUAGUCCCUGUCUCUUAUAC